GACGAACGCUGGCGGCGUGCUUAACACAUGCAAGUCGAACGGAAAGGCCCUGCUUUUGUGGGGUGCUCGAUUGGCGAACGGGUGAGUAACACGUGAGUAACCUGCCCUUGACUUUGGGAUAACUUCAGGAAACUUGGGCUAAUACCGGAUAGGAGCUCCUGCUGCAUUGUUGUGGUUGGAUAGUUUCGGCGGUUGGGGAUGGACUCGCGGCUUAUCAGCUUGUUGGUGGGGUAGUGGCUUACCAAGGCUUUGACGGGUAGCCGGCCUGAGAGGGUGACCGGCCACAUUGGGACUGAGAUACGGCCCAGACUCCUACGGGAGGCAGCAGUGGGGAAUAUUGCACAAUGGGCGGAAGCCUGAUGCAGCAACGCCGCGUGCGGGAUGACGGCCUUCGGGUUGUAAACCGCUUUCGCCUGUGACGAAGCGUGAGUGACGGUAAUGGGUAAAGAAGCACCGGCUAACUACGUG
rnacentral:rRNA from 1 species